rnacentral:rRNA from 1 species
GGUUGCGAUCAUACCAGCACUAAUGCACCGGAUCCCAUCAGAACUCCGCAGUUAGCGUGCUUGGGCGAGAGUAGUACUAGGAUGGGUGACCCCCUGGGAAGUCCUCGUGUUGCAACCCC